GUGAAGGUGUUUCGCUUCCAGGGAAAGGCGAAGGCUUGAAGGGGAGGGUCGUGCAGAAGCAUUUUCGGUGUGGAGGACAAGCCUGCGCAUCGCGGUUACCAUAGUAACCUGACGUCAUUUUGGCGACUGUGACAACCAUGACGACUUUUUAAUGGAGACCGACUUGGCCUGGUGAGGAGAGCAGGGUUUCGUCUUCAGGUGUUUAGACUCAACUGUGGCUGCGGGUACUCUGCGAUGUAGAGAGAGGAAGAGAUCCCAUAUCCAAGUUGCCUUGCUCCCGCUUUGGGACAAGUUGCCCUCGCUGUCUGAUGAGGCAGGGAGAAGUAGGACUCUCUUUGCCCCAAUGAAUGUGGUGUCCUGCUCCAGGGGUGUCCCGGAGCUACUUUCCAAGUGAAGGCAAGGUGCCAAAAAAUGAGACAGAAACAGUGUCUCACUAUGUUGCCCAGGCUUGUCUUGAAUUCCUGACCUCAAGUGAUCCUCCCACAUCAGCCUUCCAAAGUGCUGGGAUUACAGGCAUGUACCACCUCACCUGGCCUCCUUGAAUCUUAAUUGCUAUCCAAGGUCUCUGAAUGCUCUAAUCUCCCUCCUGGCUGACAGUACGGGCUCCCCAGGACACUGGAGCAAGAGAUACUGGAGAUCUCUCUGCAUCCUGGCACCAAACCCAAACCAGUAACUCUGGGACAUUCUUGACUCAGGGUUAACCUCAGAAACCUGGUAAUCCAUAUGACCCCACAGCUAUGCCUCAUGGCCCAAAGGGCAGGAUUUCAUCUCCACCGUCCUCUUCUUCAACGUGAAGGGCUGUUGACCCUACUCACAGAGGGCUCUGUGUUGAACCAAGGUGCUUCAUGCAACAGCCCCAGCUGAGCUCCCAGCAGAUGCCAGCACCAUUCGCUAUCCAUGAUAAGCCUCCGAUGCAAUCACUUGUGUUAAGAAAUUGAGAGAAUGUUGAUAUAAACUGCUCCCUGAGCCAUAUGGAAAGCUGUAUCUUCUGCAGGUUGCUUGAUCUUCAUCAGGUUAUUGAACUCAUAACAGGUGUAUGAAGGAGAUGGGCUUUGAGGAUCUGGGUCUUGAUGGCUGCUGAAGCUUCUACUUCAGAUUUGAAGGGCAGCAGUCCUAAAGAGACCCCCAACACUUCCAUCCCUGGUGGGAUAUGAUGCCUGGCACAAUGUGACGUGGGUGAAGAAGUUCUUAUUGAGCCAUGGGAGGAAGAAAUAGUACAGAAGAGCAAAGAAUAAUAAUGAGUCAGCUAGACAGAAGACAGGAGUCAUCAGAUUUGUACCCUAGUUACUCAACCCAUCAACUGACUGUGGUUUUUGGGUUGUCUGGCUAUCUGAUGGAAAGGAGAAAGGAAGAAACAUGAGAAGAAAAAAUACCCAUUCAUAUCUCAACACUGUGACCUGCCAUAUAUGCCUCUUUACAUGUGUACUGUCUUUCAGAGCUACUAAACCAGACACACCACUUUUCCAGUUUACGUGCUAUAGAGAGCACUAACAGAAUUGGUACAUAUCAUUUUUCAGUCAUUUAAAAAAAAUGUGACGUUUUCAAAGUCUUAAGAGUUUUCCAGGUGACAGCCAGCCCAAAACAAUGUUGCAAUGUAUCUUCGUGUGUGUGUGUGUGUGUGUGUGUGUGUGUGUGUGUGUGUGUGUGUGUUUUCUUGAGACAGGAGCUCUUUAGCCUCCUUAUGUUGCUCAGGCUGGAGUGCAGUGGCUAUUAACAGGCACAAUCACAGCACGCUACAGCCUAGAACUCCUGGGCUCAAGUGUUCCUCUCACUUCAGCCUCCCAAGUAGCUGGGAUUUGCAGUGUAUCUUGAAUGUGAAAUAUCUUCCCAUUGUCCAGGCACAAUUUCCCAACUUUUAUUCACGCUAUUACACAUAUAUGUCUGUAAAUCUGGAACUAAUCUGGGCAGUCUUGGUGAAAAAAAGUCAGUGAUUGCCAGGAGUUGGUUUUUAAGUGUCCAAUCUACUAUCCAAAUCCCUCGGUUAGUUUAGGUAUGCAUCCCAUUUAGAACUUGAUAUGAUUUGUUAUUACAUGUGAUUGGCAUGUGUAUAUUUUCCUUUCGGUUUAAUAUUUUUAAUUGUAUAAGCGAGGUACUUCAUACGUGUGUUGAUUACUCCUGGGGCCCUGGGCCGAGUGAGACUGUGACUCUACUUUUACCCUGAAUCCCGCUGUGUUAGGAUUCUGUCCUCUGGAAGCUGUGGUGCUGAGCCCUAGUGGUUUCAUGCAGUCCCUCCCCUUUCCCUCCCCUGUGGCAGUCACUGCUUGGCCAACUAGGUGGGUAAACAGAGGAGCCUGCCGUCAAUUCAAAGGACUUUAUUUGUGCUAGUGCAGAAAGAAGCAUGUUGUGAAACCACUUUCAUCUCAUGACCUUCACUAAAAUCUUGAAAAGUAAAAAUGUCAUCUGGCUGUUGAAUGUGAGGUUCAUCUGAGAGACGUGCUUGCCCUUCCCCCGGGUGUCUGUAAUUUCCCUAAACCUGCCCACCUGGGGAUGUCAUGUAGAUAGAUUCAUACUUUAAUUCUAGGACCACCCUAGUACCUAAUUGUCUUGGCUUACACAUGUUAUCAUUCCUAACGGUGAGCAACUUUCCUAUGAAAAGGGCAGGGGUAUUUUGUUUUUAUUGUUUUUUUCACUUCCAAAACCAAGACACUUUUCUUCUAGAUAAAAAUGGAAAAUGCCUGAAAGGAAUAAAAUCUUUAAAAAAACUUAAAAUUUUAUUAUGCAUGGAUAAGCACUGUCAAGAUUUGAAUUGUUUUUCAGAAGUUAUAUUAUGCAAAUGUAACUAUGUAUUUAAGAAUAGAAAUAAAAUAGUAUCCUACUUUUAGCUUUGUAAACUGCUUUUUUAUGACAGAUAUAUAUUGUGAAGGUCAACCCACGCUAACAAAUUAAAAUCCACAUUAUAAUAAAAAAUGGCAGUAGAAACAGUACUAGUCAAUCCGGGUAUGAAAUAAUGAUAGAAAUGGUUAAUAUUUAUUGUUUUUUCUCAGUUCCUUAUACUGCUGUAAUUCUAAAUCUAUACUUCAUUUAAUCCUCACCACCAUCUAUAAAGAGGAGCGGUUGUUUCCAACUUUAAAUGUAAGAGAACUGGGGUACAACAAGGGCAGGGCUAGCAAGUUGUGAGGCUGAGAUUUGAACACAGGCUGUGUGGCUCCCGAGUAAAUUUAUCUAACCAGCAUGUGCUACUCCUGCUCAUUAGAUCUCCAGCCUUACUGUUGAUCAGGGCACAGAAAAAAAAAUCAGCUAACCAAAACUAAGGCUUUGUAUUAGUUUCCUAUGGCUGCUGUACAUAGUACCACAAACUUGUGGCUUAAAACAACAGAAAUUUAGUCUCUCACAGUUCUGGAUGCAACACUUUUGAAACACCCAAGAAUGUCAAUAACCUUCUGUCUACAAAACAUCGAACUCAAGGAAUAUCAGUCUGAAAUCCAGGUGUCGAUUGGGCCUUGCUCCUUUUGAGUCUAUGGGAAGAAUCUUUCCUUUCCUGUUCCUAGUAUCUGGUGAUGGCCAUAGAUCCAUGAUGUUGCUUGCUUGCAGGGACGUCACUCCAGUCUCUUCCUCUGUCACCACAUAUUGCUCUCCCUGUGUGUCUCUGUCUUUAGUGGCAUUUUCAUUAUCUUAUACGACCACAAGUCAUAUUGGAUUAGAGCUCACCCUAAUAGUCUCAUCUUAACUUGAUUACAUCUGCAAAGACUCUAUUUUCUUUUUAUUAUACUUUAAGUUCUAGGGUACGUGUACAGAACGUGCAGAUUUGUUACAUAUACAUGUGCCGUGGGGGUUUGCUGUACCCAUCAACCCAUCAUCUACAUUAGGUAUUUUUCCUAAUGCUAUCCCUCCCCUAGCCCCCACCCCCUAACAGGCCCCGGUGUGUG